GCAGUAACACUGGUCAGGGACCUGGCGGGAAGAAGAGCAAGCCCCGGCAGAGAGGACUCACUGCCUCAGUGAGUGGGGGCCGUUGCUGAGCCCUGAGGGAGCUGCAGGAGACUCAGGGCCACCCCAACCCAGUAUCAUAUCUUACCUUGAUUGUAUCUGCAGAGACCCUGCUCCACAUCUGGUCACAUUUUGAAGUCCCGGAUGCACAUGGAUUUGAGGGGACAAACUCAGCCCAUGACAGGGCAAAGAAGAAAUGGUCUUGGACCAAUCCAGAGAGUGGAGGACAGACCCUGCAGUGGCCCAGGUUCCCCACCUCCUGGCGCUGACACCUUUGAUUAAUCUCCCCUGAGGGUGAGCGGGACCUGGGACCCGGGACCUGUGUCUGACCAACAGAACCCAGCAAGGCGAUGGCACAGCUUCCGUGAUGGCGUUGCAUGAGAUCAUAACUGGUCAUGCUGCUGUGUGUGAGCUGGCCCUGGGAGAGCGCCCUGUGCCCAGGAAAUAUCAACCCACUUUGCCAAGGAGGAAACUGAGGCACAAAAAGUCUCCGGUCAACAGCCAGCAAGGAAUUGAAUACUGCAAACAUCCUGGUGAGUGUGGAUGCACAGUCUGCCCUGGCCGAGCCUGGGCUGAGACCACCGCCCUGGCUGAGACCACUGCCCUGGCAGCACCGUGAUUGCAGCCUGGUGUGACCCUGAGCAGGGGACCCUGCUAAGCUGCACUCACACUUCAGACCUGCUGCACCGUGAGAUAAAUAUGUGUCUUUGAAACCACUAA